GUCUCCAGCCCCUGCCAGGGGCUGCCUGGAUGUUCGUUUUAACUAUCUCCACCUCGGAAGGAAUGCUGAUGGGGAGAAGAUUUGCAGUGACCAACCUCCUUUGGGAUGUCACACACCCUCUUUCCUGCAGCUUCGACCUGAAAAGCUCCUGAUGGUGAUGCCCAAACACGGAGGCUGCAGUUCCCAACCAUCCAGCUGCUGCUGCCUCCUAGGUGCAGGGCCCGAGUGAAGAACAGAGCCAGAGCUUGCCAUGCAGGUGUUGACAAGAUGAAGAAAUAAGUCCAGAGAAACUGAACUCUCCGAAUGACAUGGUGGGCUCAAACCCAAGUCUGUCAGACUCAGGCUGAUGCUCAAGAGAAGUUCUGACCCUAUCAGGGUCACCCCCAAAGAAACAGUGGGGCAGGGACUCACACACCCAGGCUUCCAGCUGCACAUGUUCUGCCCACCCCAUGGGACCAGGCCACCCCCACUGCAAGCCAAAGGGCUUGGUGUGUGCCUAGCACACUGCACACCAGAACCAGCCCCCAGCACGCAGAUCAGCAUCGUCUGACACAGCAACUAGACACGUGGGCUCAACUGUCAGAGGAAAUCUUCCUGCAAGGAGCCCACCCCAAAGAGGCCUUGAAACAAGUAGCCAAUGGAUGACUUGGUGCAGCAACACAGGCCUGCUUCAGACUCCCUGGGGAGACUGUUGAGAUCAGAUGGAUUACACACCCAUCACCAUGUGAGGUGCGAUGACAAAAGUGUCCGGAGACUGGAGAGUAACACUGAGAAAACAGCAGGGGCUGGACAGGGAAGAGCUGGCACAGGUAUCUCACAACUGUCUUUAAAUAAACCAGCUGUCUGUACUUGGAGCAGCCCAGCCUUGGCUGUGUGACACUUGGCCUCGGGGAGCCUUGGUUUCCUCAUCUGUGAAAUGGGGAUAAUAUCUGCCUCCAAAUAAGAUAAUGGAUGGGAAAGCAUUUCAAAUACAGUGGAACUGCUGUAAAACUCAUAGAAGGCUGUUAUGAUUUGCCCUGAAUACAACUUGAAUCACCAAGCAACGUUAUCUUAAUCUGGGUUCCCAAGGGAACUCUCCUACUGACCAGCCAAGAGAGCUCAGAAGAGAAGCUACUGACCUCUUGUAGGUGUAACCGAGGACAAUGCCAGCUCCAAUGCCGAUGAUGAUCACCAUCAUGGUAACGCCCAGCACGUAGCCUGCCAAGGACAGGACACAAGAGAAUCGUCUUGCUGCGCUGGGAGCCACAAGUCUGCACUAUGGAGUCUGAGAAACUUGGAUUCAAACCUGGACCCU